ACAAGAAAUAAGGGGUGCUGCACGGUUGUGCUGCUGAGAUUAUACCCAUAGAACCUGACGCAGAUAAUGCUGCCGCAGGGAUAUUUCUAUUCCGUAUU
rfam:Prevotella sp. CAG:386 genomic scaffold, scf57